GUUCUCUAACCCUCCAAUUAUGUGACCACACUUCCCAUGGGAAUCAACUUGGUCAACCAGCUAUUCAACAAUUAGGGGCUUCACUGGCCAAAGGAAGAAGAGGACAAGUCAGGUGUCAUUGGCUUCUAUGUGGGAAGAUUGGUUGAGCCAGUAAUCCUGGUCCGGAUGGUCCAACUUUGGUGGUGGUCAAAUGAUUGGAAACUAUGGGCAACACAGUGGCAUAACAGUUAGAGCUGCUGCCUCACAGGGUUCGAUCAUGACCUCAGGUGCUGUCUGACAUGUUCUCCCUGUGACUGUGUGGGUUUCCUCUGGUUUUCUCCUGCAUCCCACAGAUGCACGGGUUCCGGGAAGACAGCUGAGGGCC